rnacentral:rRNA from 1 species
CCUACGGGAGGCAGCAGUGAGGAAUAUUGGUCAAUGGACGCAAGUCUGAACCAGCCAUGUCUCGUGCAGGCAGCCGGAUCUAUGAGUUGUAAACUGCUUUUGUACGGUGGUAAAUCCCGAUACGUGUAUCGUGUUUAAAGUCUCUUACGACUAAGGAUCGGCUACCUCCGUGCCAGCAGCCGCGGUAAUACGGCGGAUUCCAGCGUUAUCCGGAUUUAUUGGGUUUAAAGGGUGCGUAGGCGGUUGGAUAAGUUAGAGGUGAAAUCCCGGGGCUCAACUCCGGCACUGCCUCUGAUACUGUCGGGUUAGAGUGUAGUUGCGGUAGGCGGAAUGUAUGGUGUAGCGGUGAAAUGCAUAGAGAUCAUACAGAACACCGAUUGCGAAGGCAGCUUACCAAACUACGACUGACGUUGAGGCACGAAAGCGUGGGGAGCAAACAGGAUGAGAUACCCUAGUAGUC